rnacentral:pre_miRNA from 1 species
UGGUCACAGCUGUUUGCACAUUAUGAUAUCACAAUGGCAAUCGCCUGCUGACCG